AACAAAUUGGAAAUGUACUCAAAAAAUCCACAAAAAAUCACACUCAAACUAAACAUCCAGAAGAUGCAACAUGCAAAAAUUCAGAUCAUUUUGAGUUCAUAUGGCAUGGUAAAGAAAAUCAAGAAAUCAAGCAAGAAAUGGUGUGACACAAAUUGUCACACCUCCAAUGAUCAGGUCAUAUCUCACAAACCAGGAAUGCAAAAAUCACAAAUUCUAUACCAAAAUGCUCCUCAG
rnacentral:lncRNA from 1 species